GUCUCCAGGAGUGUCUCGAUUCCUGCUUCAUUCUCUUUCCAUUUUGCUGGGCAAACUGCGGCUCAGAAAGACAAAGGCCUUCCCCACAGCGGAAAACCUCCUAGGCCGUACCCAAAGCUCCGCACGGUCGGGAGAACUGGGGACUGAGGGAGGCCAAGAGACCAGAACGGGUUAAGAUCAUGAAGCUGCGGAGCACCGCCAAGGCCUAGAGAGACCGGGCGCCUCGAACCCGGUUCCCCCUCCGCUCCCAGCUUCCGGGCGGGGCGCGACUUCCGGUUCCGACGGCGGGCUACAAAGCUUGGCGCCGGGAAACUGGUUUUUCGUUCCCGCAGCCGGCAGCGGGGUUUCGCGUCUCAUCGCCAGCCGCCCCGUCUCCCCGCCUUCGGAGGGGCACCUGCGCAGGAGUCUGAGAAAUCCUUUUCCAGAGUUCUAGAAUGGAGACUGAAGGGUACCCAGAGAUACAAAGAAAUAGAGAAAUCCAGAAUGAUGAAGUAAGGUCAUCACCAAAUGAGAGGAUGGCUGAGGAGCCAGAAGUUGUCCUGAUAACACUUCCCCAGGUCCAGGUUCCACCAGAGAGCCUCGAUGAAGACUCUGAAGAAGACCUUGAGACUGUGCCCCGAGGGAGUCCUCUCAACCCUGCAGCCUCCAGGCAGAGGUUCCGGCAGUUCUGCUAUGAGGAUGCAGCUGGCCCCAGGGAUGUCCUCAGACAUCUCCAGGAGCUUGCUGGACAGUGGCUGAGACCUGAUAUUUACACAAAGGAGCAGAUUGUGGAAAUACUGGUGCAGGAGCAAUUCCAGGCCGUCCUCCCUGAGGAACUCAGAGCUUGGGCACAGAGAUGUCAGCCUGGGGUCAGAGUCACUGGCUAAAUCCUACUGCUUGCUUCUUGCCCAGCCUACAUGUGAGAAGUAACCAAAGGCUCUCUUUGUUACAAGAUCCAACUGCAGUCAUGGGAAAUCUGAACUUCGGUUUUCUUUGAGCUUGCAUUUGACUAGCUGUAAUAAGAAUUAACCAAAACCUUUUUUUGGCUGAAGCAGCUCUAUUACCUGGGACUGUGAACUCCAGAAUGAGUUUCCCUGCCCUCUUGUAAGGACAGUCAGCCCGCUGCUUGUUUUUGCUCUGCUGAAUGCCUCCUUUUUUGUACUUUGUGACAUGCUUUAAUAUAUUAAAGCAUGUUUUUAUGUAUCCAAAGAGGUGAUUGCUUCAACUUUAAUAUUCUUGAUUCUUGUUGUGGUGGCAUGAAUGGAAGCUUCUGUAACCCCACCAGUAACUCAUUUGGGAUGUCCUUGAAAUAUUAAAGCUCUGUUUUUAGGAAAAAUGUCCUUUGAUGAUUUACCAGUUUAGCUCUUAGUAGUCAGCAUUUGAGAAAGGUGAGAUAAUUAUCAGGAGUAGAUGUGAGCUCGAGAUAAGAACUGUGUGGCAUUCGCUGAGCUGGGAAAUAGGAACAGGCCUGGCCUUUGUUUUCAAAGUCAGAAUUUAAAUUGGACAAAACUGAGAGGCGUAAAACAGGGUCAUAAGAGGUAACUCUCAGGCAGGGCUGUUUGAUUUGCUCUUUCUCCAUUUUCAUCACCUUUGUUCUACAGCUCGUCUUCCUGUAAGAGGACUCACUCAACCAUCUGACAAUUCUGCUCUUCCCGAAACAGAGGCCAUCCUGGCUUUGUGUGUGUGGAGGCCUGUACUUUGGUUGACAGCUGAGACAGAGCAGUAUCUCUGGUUGUGACAGGCAGAGAGGGAACAGCAGCUGCUUCCCCAGCAUGACCCAGUCUUGAGGAACCUUUCUGUCUCUGCGGCCUGGCUUUGGGAUUUGUAGAUCCGUUCCUGUAACACACUUGGUACCAAUUCGGAAACUAAUCUUUUGGGAUAGGGGCUGCUUAACUCCAUGCUGGAACUCCUGUUGAUUCUGCUGAUGUUUGUUUAGUACUUCAUGUGCCUUUGGGACUCUUCUAGAUGCUAGCAUAUAAAUACUAUAAAACCAAGUUUGAAAGAAAUGCAUAGUUUUUGAGGAGAGGAAGAAGCUAUACAAAUAUAUCAUUAGACAUGCUAGAGUAAAGCUAGUUUUCCUUUUGGCAUCUGGUUUUGCGAGAGCACUAAGAAACAUGAUGACCUAGAGGGGUGGGAUAGGGAGGAUGGGAGAGAGGCUCCAGAGGGAGAGGAUAUGGGGAUAUGUGUGUAUGCAUAUGGCUGAUUCGCUUUGUUGUACAACAGAAACUAACACAGUAUUGUGAAGCAGUUAUACUCCAAUAAAGAUCUAUUGAAAAAAAAUGUUAAAAGCAAAGAGGAAAUAGCUAAGGGAAGUGGCGUUUUAAUUGAACUUUAGGAGUAGGAGAUCACUGGACAGAAGGUGCACCUUUUGCAAAGAGUAAAAUUUAACAUUGGCAAAGGAGGAACUCUAAGUGUUGUAUCUUCAGUACUUCAGUUUGUUCCAAACAUUCUGAAGGUAUUUCCUUUAGUCUGCAGGCAUUAGGAACUCCUGGUGUUAAGGAAUUUCCUGACCUGCUCCAGUUUCUCAGCUGCUUUGAUGGCCUAGAAUUUAGCAUGCAAGUAAAGGGCCAGAGUUUACAGGUGGACCAAAAAGUUUUCAUUUUGCGGGUUUUAUUACAAAACAGCUGAGGUUUCCUGGAUUGAGUGCACUUAGCACUGGUUUUUCUCAACCUUGGCACUUUGGGACCAGGUAAUUCCCUUUUGUGGGGACUUGUCCUAUGGAUUAUAGGACGUUCAGCAGCAUCUCUAUCCUCUGCUCACUAGUUAAAAGUAACACCCCCGAGAUGUGACAACCAAAAUGUCUUCAAACAUUGCCAAAUGUUCCUUGGGGGCAAGUUUGCCCCUGGUUGAAAACCACUGGUUUUAAGGAGGAGAGUUCAUCUAGACAUGCCACAGAUUACCCUCAGGUCCAUGGUCUCUUAAGGUUAAUGUUGAAUUGAGAAAGCUAUUGGAAAAGUUGUAUGAAUUGGGCUUUAUGGUUCCUUUUUUCUCUUUUAAUUAAAAAAUUCUUAUUCAAUGUUUAAA